CUUCGUCCGGCAGGUCGACGAUUCCUACGGGAGGCAGCAGUGGGGAAUAUUGGACAAUGGGCGGAAGCCUGAUCCAGCAACGCCGCGUGAGGGAUGACGGCCUUCGGGUUGUAAACCUCUUUCAGCACAGACGAAGCGCAAGUGACGGUAUGUGCAGAAGAAGGACCGGCCAACUACGUGCCAGCAGCCGCGGUAAUACGUAGGGUCCGAGCGUUGUCCGGAAUUAUUGGGCGUAAAGGGCUCGUAGGCGGUUUGUCGCGUCGGGAGUGAAAUCACCGGGCUUAACUCGGUGCUUGCUUUCGAUACGGGCAGACUAGAGGCAUUCAGGGGAGAACGGAAUUCCUGGUGUAGCGGUGAAAUGCGCAGAUAUCAGGAGGAACACCGGUGGCGAAGGCGGUUCUCUGGGAAUGUCCUGACGCUGAGGAGCGAAAGUGUGGGGAGCGAACAGGAUUAGAUACCCUGGUAGUCCACACCGUAAACGUUGGGCGCUAGGUGUGGGAUCCAUUCCACGGGUUCCGUGCCGCAGCUAACGCAUUAAGCGCCCCGCCUGGGGAGUACGGCCGCAAGGCUAAAACUCAAAGGAAUUGACGG
rnacentral:rRNA from 1 species